rnacentral:rRNA from 1 species
AUGGUCAACGGUGGCCCUCUGCCUCUCCGUCACAUCCUCUCUCCAGAAUUUCUCAAAAAAAAAACAUCCUCUCUCCAGAAGAAAAAAAAACACGUUCCCCAAUUAUCCUUCUAUCCAGAAGAAAAAAAAACACGUUCCCAAAUCCUGAAAUCCCCCACACUCACAGCAACGACCCCAACCCCUCGUGCGCGCCAACCGCCGGCCAUGGAGGACGCGGCGGCGGCGGCGGCAGCCGUCCCCGGAGCGCACGCGUUGGCGAGCCGCCGAUCCGACGACCGGCAAGUGCCGUUGUGGAGUCCCGGCCUCCGGGAGCAACAGAGAAGCGUCGACGAUCUCAUCAGCCACCUCCCCGACGACGUCCUCGGCGCCGUCGUCUCGCUCCUCCCCACCAAGGACGGCGCGCGCACGCAGGUCCUCUCGCGCCGGUGGCGCCCCCUCUGGCGCUCGUCCGCGGCGCCGCUCAACCUGUCGAUCGACCGCCGCUUCUGCGCGGGCGACGCCCGCAAGCACGUCGCCGUCGUCUCCAGGAUCCUCUCCGACCACCCCGGCCCCGCCCGCCGGUUCUCGCUCCGCCAGGCCUUCCCACUGGGCCAGAUCGACCGCUGGCUCCGCGCCGGGUCGCUCGCCCGCCUGCAGGAUCUCGAAAUCGCCUACACCAGAGUGCACGGGGACGCAUGCCACCCGAUGCCGCCGUCCGCGCUCUGCUUCGCGCCGACGCUCCGCGCGGCCAAGUUCGGCAGCUGCGAGUUCCCCGCGUUGACCGCGUCCCCUAAGUUUCCGCGCCUCAAGCAGCUCACCCUGUGCCGCGUCAGCAUCUCGGAGGACUCUCUCCACGGCAUGCUCUCUGGCUGCAUUGCCUUGGAAAGCCUUUCGCUGGACCGAAGCAUCGGCAUCGGUCGCCUCUGCAUCAGCUCCCCGACGGUUAGGCGCUUCAGCUUCUCUCCCCAUCGGGACAAACAAGGUAUCGUCACUUGCCAAGAGCUGCUCGUCCAGGACGUCCCAUGCCUUGAGAGGUUAAUACUACAUGAUUCACACAUUGGUCCGGCGACCAUCCGGAUAACCGGGGCACCUAAACUGGAGCUAUUGGGGUUGUUGUCUCAUGGCAUAUCUACACUCAAGCCUGGAACCACAGUUCUCCAGAAAACAAUUGAUGUCAGCUUGACAACCAUAAUGCAUAAAGUGAAGAUUUUGGUUGUUGACUCUAUUGGUCCCAAUCUGGAUGCAAUUGUUGGCCUACUCAAGUGCUUCACUUUCUUAGAGAGGCUAUACGUCAUUUCGCACCCACAGGAGGAUAUGAAUAAUGUGCGCAAGUAUGACCCACUGGAUCCAAUUGAAUGCCUAGAACUCCAUCUAAAAAAAGUGGUAUUGAAGAAUUACGAUGGUAACCGGACACAAGUUAUUCACUUUGCCCAGUUCUUUGUUUUGAAUGCAAAAGUGCUUAAGGAAAUGGAAAUUGGAGUUGUCAACCGCUGCAACAGCAAAUGGAUGCGUUUUCAGCGUAAACGGUUGCAAGUGGAGAAUAGAGCUUCUCGAGAUGCACAGAUUGAACUAAAAUGGGAUACAAAGAAGAGCUUCAAAUACCAUGGUUUUUCUGAGGCUGAUCCCUUUGACAUGUCCUCAUGUUGA